CAAAUUAGAGCUUGAAAAAGUAUUUCAUUUACAUUGAAAAGAUAUUAUGGUUAUAAUUAAUUUGU
rnacentral:tRNA from 1 species